rnacentral:lncRNA from 1 species
AUGAAUCAGGAUUAUAGACACAUGGUCUCAUUGUGUGCAGCAGCUCAUGCAGUAAGUGGGGCACAUUUCCAUAGCAUCUGCAUAAUCUGUGUAAUUGGUUUAGUCUUAAAACGGUUUCAAAGUUUCUUCAGCCUGGAACUGAAACCCCUCAGAGCUGGCUGCAACUUCAACUUCCUCCUAAAGCAGCCAUCAAACCCAUCUGUCUGUCCCCUGAAACCACCACAACAUCAUCCACAAGUCUGUAGACAUGCUAGCAGGAGCUUUGUAGAGAAAGUGUUUCGCCCCACCCUCUGUAAGCCCAGAGACAUUUGGAGCAGACGACGUGGUGUGCACGAGGAUUUACACAAGAGAGUGAACAUCUUCCUCUGCUCUCAGCUAACUCACUAACUCAUUUACCAAGUAUUCUGUAAAACCUGCACAUGUAAAAGCUUAGAGUCAGUCCUCUGGUUGUUAGUAGUGAACCUUGUGUCCACGCUAUGCUAGCUAGAUGUCUCCAUGUCCACAACCCUGCUGCCAGUUGUUCAUGUAGGAUUUAAUCAUCAACCAGCUGUUCGAGAAGCAAUAAAAUAAUAGAAUAAACAAUGAGACUCCUUCUUGUUUACGCCAGUUAGUCUGAAGUACAUGUACAUAACAGCAACCUCCCGUCACCUACACCCUCACACACGCACUGGGUGUUUGUCAUUAUUCUGUUCAGAAGAAGCAUGAUUCAUUGUUGUUGUAAAUCCUGCAACUGAUUGUUCACACAGACCAAACUUCAUCGCUACAUCACCAUGUAAAGAAUGAGUGGUUUACAUCUUACUUAUGAACCAUAAAAUGUGAGAUUCCAUAGAAAUAUGAAAUAUCAAUCUGAUGGAUCUUUGAAUAUUUUAACCAGAAGACCAGAACUUUUUAUUGCAGGGAUUAAGCGACACUUCUUAUGAACUCCAAGCAAAGAGAGAGAGAGUCAGGUUUAAAAUAGUCAAGAAAUGUAUUUCUACACAAUUUAAACAAGACUAACUUUAACACUCUGUGUACUGAUGGACUAAGGUGGAGUGAGAUGUGAGAUGAACGACGUAUGUGUGGAAUGUGGUUAUCAGAACCAACGGAUCCGCAGAAUCAUUUAGUUCUGAGUGGGAGUGAAUGUUUCGCUCUAAGAAGGACAGAGGGGCCGAUGGAGAUGAGGCAGGGACCAGCAGAGUCCGGGGGCCUGCGUCCAGGGCAGAGGAGGCGACGACGACGGGCUCUUGGGGACCUGCGUCUAUGGCAGAUGUCCAACUGCUCACUGGACAAAGACUGUGCUGAAAAAGAUGCAACCUUCUACUAAAGUAGUCAUUCAACGUUGGAUGCACAUAUUUGCAUGACAGGAUAAGGUUCAGUACCAUUUUCUUGUUAAUUAAAUGUUUUUUAGGGUGAAUAAAAGAAGCAAAGGGCAGCAAAAUAUGAAAAGUUGGCUGGCAUUUUAAAGCCAGGCGUACACUGUGCAAUCAGCUCUUUUCUUCUCGUGCAAGGAUCUUUGAGAUCAGACUGAGUCCUGUUUACAUUAUUAAUUUGUUUAUAUUUUUUGCACCAAGUACAUCAUCAUCUGCUAAAAAGUAUUAAGCAUUUCGUCCAGUUUAAUUCCCGGAAAAACAUUCAGUUGACAUCGAAGCUCUUUCUGUUUUUAGAAUAUGUCUUUCGUAACUUUCAAUAAAGAAAUUGUGGAAAAAAAGAUGACGCGACUUUAGGUCAUGUGACUUCCGAUUUCAAACAAGCCCUUCCGGUAAAGCAGGGGUGGGCAAUUAUUUUUUCCAUGGGGCCACAUGAGAAAUAGAAAAUAUUGUGGAGGGCCAGGCCAAAAGGCUGAAGUCAAUUAUGCAUAAUAUUAAUGGCAUUUCUUUAUAAAAAGCAGUAAAUACCAUUGUUUCUUCAAGCUGGUAAGAGUAGACUAUAUGUUAUAAAUGAGCAAAAAGGAAAAAGUGAGGUUGUCUUACAAAAAUGUGAUUUAUUCAAAUUUCCCAAGGCAAUGGUAAACAAAGUGUGCACAUUUGGUUUUUGUUAAACAUUUGUGACUUAUAUUAGUUAACAGUUUCAGUCACAUUCACUCCAAAACACAUUCUGAGUUUCAAAUAUUGUUGGAAAGAGGUUCUUAGCAUUCUACAGACACACAGUAUUGUCUGUAAAAUAAAAUCACUGAACUGUGAUCUUGAGAAAGAGGU